rnacentral:tRNA from 1 species
GGAGAGAUGGCCGAGUGGUCUAAGGCGCACGCCUGGAGAGCGUGUAGGUGAGCAGUCCUCGCCUCGUGGGUUCGAAUCCCACUCUCUCCGCCA